rnacentral:lncRNA from 1 species
AUUCGCGUCUGCGAGCUCCGGAGUGACUUUCCCUUCCUGUGAAGGCAAUCCGGCCCUUUCCGGUGGAGGACCCUUCCCCCUGGGUUGAUCUUGAGGAACUUAAGAGACGGUGUUUUGACUCGACUCCUUUCCCCUUUUUCCUCCCGGCAGAACUUGCUGAAACUCCAACCUCUGGAAAUUACUGGAACCCUGCAUUCUAGAACUUGCUGGAAACCCACCCUCUGGAAUUGGCCUGCUAGAGUGCCUGAGAAGGAUGUUCAUAGGGAAAUGUUUCAGCAGAGGAACUCUACUACAAAAACCACAAGAGGGAGGGUGCCAGGGGAAGUGGCCUGGUGCUAUUGAAACUGCAACACAGAAGCCAGCCACUGGAGAGAGCUGCACAAG